rnacentral:misc_RNA from 1 species
UCAUUUGAGGCCAUGAAGCAAGACAUUAGGCUUAUAGAAUCAACUGGAAAAGAAAAGGAAAUGGAGAUUGUUGCACUGCACAGGAACAUUGCCUUGCUUUAUGAAGCCUGUGCCAGUCUGCUUAUGGAAAUUGAAAAUGGAAAAGCCCAAGUUGUCACAAAUAGUUUGGCUGUUCGAGAUCUGGGGUUGAAUUUGAAACCAGCAACAUUUGGUGAUGGUGGACUUCCAUUUGGCGGAGACAGUAAUUUUUCAUCUGAGGAACAUGUCAAGACUAUGGCAGAAAAACUAUUAUUGGCUAUGACAGAAUUUGCUAGCCUAAAAGGCGAGAUUAUAGAGGGUAAAGAGAAGGAAAUGAAAAUUACCAUUUCGAAUUUGCAGAAGGAGCUUCAGGAG